rnacentral:rRNA from 1 species
GACGAACUGUCCUAACGUUGUUCGGAAUCACUGGGCUUAAAGGGCGCGUAGGCGGUCGAUCAAGUCAGGGGUGAAAUCCUGCAGCUUAACUGUAGAAGUGCCUUUGAUACUGGCAGGCUAGAGGGAGGUAGGGGCAUGCGGAACUUCCGGUGGAGCGGUGAAAUGCGUUGAUAUCGGAAGGAACGCCGGUGGCGAAAGCGGCGUGCUGGACCUCUUCUGACGCUGAGGCGCGAAAGCUAGGGGAGCAAACGGGG